rnacentral:rRNA from 1 species
ACAGCAGCAGCCGCGGGAAUACGGAGGGAGCUAGCGUUAUUCGGAAUUACUGGGCGUAAAGCGCACGUAGGCGGCUUUGUAAGUAAGAGGUGAAAGCCCGGAGCUCAACUCCGGAACUGCCUUUUAGACUGCAUCGCUUGAAUCCAGGAGAGGUGAGUGGAAUUCCGAGUGUAGAGGUGAAAUUCGUAGAUAUUCGGAGGAACACCAGUGGCGAAGGCGACUCUCUGGUCUGUAACUGACGCUGAAGAGCGAAAGCGUGGGGAGCGAACAGGAUUAGAUACCCGUGUAGUCCCUGUCUCUUAUAC